rnacentral:rRNA from 1 species
AACGAACGCUGGCGGCAUGCCUAACACAUGCAAGUCGAACGAGACCUUCGGGUCUAGUGGCGCACGGGUGCGUAACGCGUGGGAACCUGCCCUUAGGUUCGGAAUAACUCCCCGAAAGGGGUGCUAAUACCGGAUAAUGUCUUCGGACCAAAGAUUUAUCGCCUUUGGAUGGGCCCGCGUUGGUUUAGCUAGUUGGUAGUGUAAAAGCCUACCAAGGCGACGAUCCAUAGCUGGUCUGAGAGGAUGAUCCGCCACACUGGGACUGCGACACGGCCCAGACUCCUACGGGAGGCAGCAGUAGGGAAUAUUGGACAAUGGGCGAAAGCCUGAUCCAGCAAUGCCGCGUGAGUGAUGAAGGCCUUAGGGUUGUAAAGCUCUUUUACCCGGGAUGAUAAUGACAGUAACGGGAGAAUAAGCUCCGGCUAACUCCGUG